rnacentral:lncRNA from 1 species
GCCAGAUUCAGAUCUAAGCUGCACAAGAAAAUCCAAAGUAAUACAACUGCUCAACUGCUUUUCCAUACCCUGGAUCUAUAUCAAUAUAAACUAGCAGAUUCUGGGUCUGCAUACUUUAACUACACAUCUGAAGUUUUUUUUUUCCUUUUUUUUUUUUUUUUUUUACAAUUCAGUCUUCUUUUUCAUCAAUUUACCUUUAUAUUCUUUACAAUCUUUAUUGAUUUUUCAAAUAAAAUAUAUAUUGCAGAAAUAUGAACUAUACAUGGGAGAUAUGGAACCUACACUUGCAUUAUGCUCUUACUUUUACCAUCAUUCUGCUUUGACUGUACACACAUAACGAACCUAAAUACCAAGAGAGAGGGAGAGAGAGAGAAUAAGUCUGGUGAAGAGAAGGAAUGCACUCAGUUUGAAAAAUAUCACCUGGAAUAAAGUAUUAUUUCGUGCAUUUUUUUGAGAACAGAGUGCUUAAUAAAGUGCUACAGGAACUGAAAACAACAAUGACACUGGAUUUCCACAGACAUGCCAGAUGACAAGUUAUGGUGCUGAGUUACAGGUCCAUAUUCCUUUCUGAAUAUACUAUAGGAUCAUUAAAGCAGUAAUGUUAGCACCUGGGGCAGUGACUUCAACCCUCUAAUAUUGAUCUACUGCUAAAUACAAAUCAGAAGCCUAAACUUGACACAAUCAACACAAGGAGAAAUUGGAUUUAAGCCAAUGAAAGUAUGUGUGUAUAUGGAAUGGUAUUAAAAUAAAAUAAUCUUUUAUACAGACCUAGCA